rnacentral:rRNA from 1 species
GAUGAACGCUAGCUACAGGCUUAACACAUACAAGUCGAGGGGUAACGAGAGGAAAGCUUGCUUUCCUUGUCGACGGCCGGCGCACGGGUGAGUAACGCGUAUCCAACCUGCCCCCAACUAGGGAAUAACCUUGCGAAAGUAAGACUAAUACCCUAUAAUUUCCUCAGAUGUCAUCUGACGAGGAAUAAAGAUUUAUCGGUUGUGGAUGGGGAUGCGUCUGAUUAGCUUGUUGGCGGGGUAACGGCCCACCAAGGCAACGAUCAGUAGGGGUUCUGAGAGGAAGGUCCCCCACAUUGGAACUGAGACACGGUCCAAACUCCUACGGGAGGCAGCAGUGAGGAAUAUUGGUCAAUGGGCGGAAGCCUGAACCAGCCAAGUAGCGUGCAGGAUGACGGCCCUAUGGGUUGUAAACUGCUUUUAUACAGGAAUAAAGUUAGCCACGUGUGGUUAUUUGUAGGUACUGUAUGAAUAAGGACCGGCUAAUUCCGUGCCAGCAGCCGCCGUAA